UUAUGUAGGACUGUGAGUGAGUUGGAACAAGCAGCAGGGAAAAACAAAAAUUCACGCACACGGCAGGGUCGAGAAGUUUUGCUUCUGUAGCUGAGGCCGAGGAAGUCAAAUCCGGACAAAAAGUUGGACGCCUUCAGCUUUUUGAGAUUACGCAUAGGAAGAAAGAUGGAUCUCCUAUGACAUCCGAAGCUGGAGAAAUUAUGGAGAAACUAAAGGAGAAGAAGGCGAAAUAUGAAGCGAUUGCUUCAAGUGAUAGUUCUGUUAAUCUU